ensembl:lncRNA
CUGAACCAUGGAUCAAAUGCACAAUUCCAUACGUUACGUCUGUGCUUGAAAAUGCUGGCACUGGGUAACAAACUCUGAGAAAUGCACUAUCUGUCGUCUUCCACAUACGUGAGCUCACAGAGGGCUGUGAUUGGCUAGUGAUUGAAAGAGGAGAGAAAGUUCGGGAAAGUACUGCACUUAUAGAGGGACUGGAGCUCUAAAUACUGUACCAAUCCAUGUCUUCAGAAAACCUGCAAGUCUCCGUUAGCCUAUCUGCAGCAGAGAGAACGAGAUGGAAAAGUUGGAAAGAAGAAGAGACAAAAAGAAGGAGAGACUGAGAUAAGGAGACUGUGCUCGGAGUUACAGAUGUUUUUGCAUGAACAGCACUCUCCCAAGCGAUGUUUGUUGGUAAAUAAGACUGUAGCUGUACUCGGGUUCGACGCACACGAAUCGGAGAGGGAUUUGACUGAACGCGUG